CGAACGCUGGCGGCAGGCCUAAAACAUGCAAGUCGAACGGAUCCUUCGGGAUUAGUGGCGGACGGGUGAGUAACACGUGGGAACGUGCCUUUUGGUUCGGAACAACUCAGGGAAACUUGAGCUAAUACCGAAUGUGCCCUUCGGGGGAAAGAUUUAUCGCCAUUAGAGCGGCCCGCGUCUGAUUAGCUUGUUGGUGAGGUAAAGGCUCACCAAGGCGACGAUCAGUAGCUGGUCUGAGAGGAUGAUCAGCCACACUGGGACUGAGACACGGCCCAGACUCCUACGGGAGGCAGCAGUUAGGAAUCUUGCGCAAUGGGGGAAACCCUGACGCAGCCAUGCCGCGUGAAUGAUUAAGGUCUUAGGAUUGUAAAAUUCUUUCAGCGGGGACGAUAAUGACGGUACCCGCAGAAGAAGCCCCGGCUAACUUCGUG
rnacentral:rRNA from 1 species